UGGGGAAUAUUGCGCAAUGGGCGAAAGCCUGACGCAGCGACGCCGCGUGAGGGACGAAGGCCUUCGGGUUGUAAACCUCUUUCAGCAGGGACGAAGCGAAAGUGACGGUACCUGCAGAAGAAGCACCGGCCAACUACGUGCCAGCAGCCGCGGUAAUACGUAGGGUGCAAGCGUUGUCCGGAAUUAUUGGGCGUAAAGAGCUCGUAGGCGGUCUGUCACGUCGGGUGUGAAAGCCCGGGGCUCAACCCCGGGUCUGCACUCGAUACGGGCAGACUUGAGUUCGGCAGGGGAGACUGGAAUUCCUGGUGUAGCGGUGAAAUGCGCAGAUAUCAGGAGGAACACCGGUGGCGAAGGCGGGUCUCUGGGCCGAUACUGACGCUGAGGAGCGAAAGCGUGGGGAGCAAACAGG
rnacentral:rRNA from 1 species